AUUGAACGCUGGCGGCAGGCCUAACACAUGCAAGUCGAACGAGUGGCGGACGGGUGAGAUAUGUCUGGGACACCGUCUGCUGGGGGGGGAUAACUAGUGGAAACUGUAGAUACUUCCGCCUCCCCUCGGGUGUACCUAGUUUGGAUUAGCUAGUAGGUGGGGUAAAGGCUCACCUAGGGGACGAUCCCUAGCUGGUCCGAGAGGUUGACCAGCCACACUGGAACUGAGACACGGUCCAGACGCCUACGGGAGGCAGCAGUGGGGAAUAUUGCACAAUGGGCGAAAGCCUGAUGCAGCCAUGCCGCGUGUGUGAAGAAGGCCUUCGGGUUGUAAAGUACUUUCAGCGGGGAGGCGUUACCCGCAGAAGAAGCAACGGCUAACUCCGUGCCAGCAGCCGCGGUAAUUC
rnacentral:rRNA from 1 species